rnacentral:rRNA from 1 species
GGGCCCGCACAAGCGGUGGAGUAUGUGGUUUAAUUCGAUGCAACGCGAAGAACCUUACCAGGGUUUGACAUCCUGCGAAUCUCUUGGAAACAGGAGAGUGCCUUCGGGAACGCAGUGACAGGUGGUGCAUGGCUGUCGUCAGCUCGUGUCGUGAGAUGUUGGGUUAAGUCCCGCAACGAGCGCAACCCACGUCUUUAGUUGCCAGCAUUUAGUUGGGCACUCUAGAGAGACUGCCGGUGUCAAGCCGGAGGAAGGUGGGGACGACGUCAAGUCAUCAUGGCCCUUACGGCUAGGGCUUCACACGUGCUACAAUGGACGGUACAAAGGGUCGCGAAGCCGCGAGGUGGAGCCAAUCCCAUAAAGCCGUUCUCAGUUCGGAUUGGAGUCUGCAACUCGACUCCAUGAAGUCGGAAUCGCUAGUAAUCGU